ensembl:snRNA U6 U6 spliceosomal RNA
GUGCUCGCUUUGGCAGCACAUAUGCUAAAAUUGGAAAGAUACAGAGAAGAUGAGCAUAGCCCCUGUGCAAGGGUGACACGCAAAUUCAUAAAGCGUUCCAUGUUUUU